AACGAACGCUGGCGGCAGGCCUAACACAUGCAAGUCGAACGCUCGUAGCAAUACGAGAGUGGCAGACGGGUGAGUAACACGUGGGAACCUUCCCUAUGGUUCGGAAUAGCUCAGGGAAACUUGAGGUAAUACCGGAUAAGCCCUUACGGGGAAAGAUUUAUCGCCAUUGGAUGGGCCCGCGUCGGAUUAGCUAGUUGGUGAGGUAACGGCUCACCAAGGCGACGAUCCGUAGCUGGUCNGAGAGGAUGAUCAGCCACAC
rnacentral:rRNA from 1 species